UAGCGGCAGGCUUAACACAUGCAAGUCGAGGGGUAUCACGCUUUCGGGCGUGAGAGACCGGCGCACGGGUGCGUAACGCGUAUGCAAUCUACCUUUUGCAGAGGGAUAGCCCAGAGAAAUUUGGAUUAAUACCUCAUAGUAUAGAACAAUCGCAUGAUUGAACUAUUAAAAGUCACAACGGCAAAAGAUGAGCAUGCGUCCCAUUAGUUAGUUGGUAAGGUAACGGCUUACCAAGACUACGAUGGGUAGGGGUCCUGAGAGGGAGAUCCCCCACACUGGUACUGAGACACGGACCAGACUCCUACGGGAGGCAGCAGUGAGGAAUAUUGGACAAUGGGCGCAAGCCUGAUCCAGCCAUGCCGCGUGCAGGAUGACGGUCCUAUGGAUUGUAAACUGCUUUUGUACAGGAAGAAACACCUCUACGUGUAGAGACUUGACGGUACUGUAAGAAUAAGGAUCGGCUAACUCCGUG
rnacentral:rRNA from 1 species